UCUUAACGAAUAUUAUCUAGAUUCGUUAUUAGCCCAACAUUAUUUCGUUGUGCUUCAAACCUUUAAAUCAAUAUCAAAUUUGUGUGCAGCUACUCUAAUAAUGUCUUUCCACAGGUUAUAUUCGAGGUCUUAUUCUCUUUGAUCCAUGGCUACUCCACUUCUCAUCUCUCUGCACCUCCUUUCAUCUUGUUUCUUAAACCCAACUCCAAGAUUUUUAUAUUACUCCAAUUUCUCCACAUCAAAACCCGAAUUUAGUAGCCAUCACCACAAAGUAAACAAAUGCUUUUGGACAAGUGUUCACUGCUCGUCUAAUCUCAUCAUCAACCCUCCCGUUCUCUUCCUAAGUAACGGCUUCGAUGGUGGUGGAUUCGUCGAUACAUAAACAUUCAUUGUUACUAUCAGUUUCAUCGUUGCCAUUGCCCUGUCUCUCUUCUUCGACUUCAAGGUGAAAUCAGAAGCAAAACCCAUAUCAUAGUUUCUCACUAAAUCAUUCUCUUUGUGAAAAUUUUGGUUUUUUUUUAUUCUUGCAGGAAGCCCAGUCCUUGUGAAAGAUAUGGUGAAAAUUGUGAAUCUCUAUCUCUUUAUAUUCUUCAGGAAAUUGCAGUUUUCUUGCAAUUUAAUUUGUAGAUGAUUGGACUUUAGUCACUUAAGAUGAUAAUAAUCAUAAUUUAUGAAGUCUUGGUUUAGUUACCAACUGAUGAUUCUUUAUUUCCUUGGAUUAGAAACAACUAGUAGAUGACACCUGAUAACACCGUAUUUUGACCACUUUUAUGGAUCAUAAUUAUGUCUUAUGCAGGUGUUUUAAUUCUGUUUUCAAUGGUUUUUAAAGUGUUUUCAAUGUUUUAGAGUUUCAAAAGACUUUACAGGAAACUUGGACAAAAGAUAUGCAAUUUAGAACAAAUACGCAAUUUUGGAUAAAUGCAGACCGUCAGAAGUAUGACAAGCGAUGAAGACUUUCUCACCAUCUGAUCACCCCCAAAAAUUUGAGACAACAUAGAGGAUCCAACCAGCUUUCUAAUGCAUUUGGUUUGGAGACAAUCCAACGGUUAGAUCUUCAGAUACUCCCGAUGCAAGAAUGACAGAAAAUGUAGUUCCAGAAGAGAGCCAUGUGCCGAGACCGCGGCCAACACCUGUUUUCCCGCGGGUAGAGCCACCGCGACCGCGGAUAUUGGUCGUUCACUUUCCAGACGACUUAAUUAAAGCCCAGAUCAAUUCCUUUCGUUAUUUUUGAAGCCCUAAGUGUCCAGAACCACCCCAGAAGCUAUAAAUACCCCCUUUAGGUCAUUCCUAAAGGUGUGUAGACGACAUAAGAUAGAAAGAGAGAGAGAGUUCGUGUGAGAAGCCCUAGGAGCCGCCGCCUUUGAAGGAGGAGCCGUCGAGGAGAGAGCAUCAUCGCGCCUCCAUCUGCGACUCUGUUCUUCGUUUUUCUUCCCUCUUUUCUUUAAUUUUCUACAACUUUCAAUACUCUGUGAUGAUUGUUUACAAUAUGUUUGAGUAGUUACCCAGUUGAGUUUAAAGGGAUUGUUCAAAGGGAAUUUCAUGUGUCUUUGCUUAUGAAUCGAUAGAUUUAGGAUUUAUAAUCUUCUAGAUAUUCUUCGUUUGCCUUUCAUUUUACUGCGUGAUUCUUUGCUGGCCACUUAGAAACCGAUCUGAUAUGAUAUGUUGCGAAAGUUUUCAUUGAUUGUCUGAACUAGGGUGAAACGAGCAAUUCUUCUAUAGGAGUGGAAACCUACCUGUAGUUGAGUUGUGAAUGUUGAUGAGUCGCUAUUGCAUCUACUCCCUUCCAGGAUCAGAGUGGAAACCUACUGAUCAGGGUUGCGAGAGAUAGUUGUUUAGUGCUGCGAAAGUAGGCUAUUCAUACUUUCGUGCCUCGAGUUCUAGAACAUACGUAGUUGAUUACCUUUAUCAUAUGUUUAAAAUCGACAUAGCUUAGUCCAUGAAUCCCUGCGAAUUCUCCUUGAUGCCCAACGUUUGUCUUUAAUUGCUUACAACCUUCGAUUUAGUUUGCUUUUCAUUCGCUUUUACUUGCUUCAAUUCGCCUUUGAUCUAUUGGAUUUUUACUUGCUUUUAUUUGCUUUUGUUUUCAAUUUCUUUUGUUUGCUUUGCUUUCUAGUUUAGAUUUAGAGACAACCAAAACUCAAAACCAAAACCCAAAUUGUUUAGUUCUAAUAUGAUUUAAGCGUUGCCGUGAAUUCUACUGAAACAACUAAGUCUAUGUGGAUCGAUACCCUAAGUACUACAGCGCACAUCUGUGCACUUGCAGACAUUUAGGGGUUAUAAAUGUAAAACCUGAAGCUUAGUAAAAACGAAAACAACAACCCCGCUUUUGCUCGCAAUCAACACGAAGAAAAAAAAUAAAUUUAAGUUUACUUUUAUGCAUCUGUUCUAUUGGAAAUAAGUAAUGUUUACUUAAUUUUAAGACAGUUUUUAAAGAGAAUAUUAUCAAAAAGACAUUUUUUCUAUGUUUUAUAUCCAAAAAGACAUUUUUUACUUUUUGGGCACUUAUCUUACUUUGCUCUCAUUUUUUUGACUUUUUUGCCCUUCAUUUCCUUUUACCUUCUAUUUACCUUAUUUCCUUUUAGCCUUUUUUCACCGCCCUUCAUUUCAAUUAAUCUCCUCCAUUCCGGCUUUUUUUGGGAGACACAUCAUUACAACCCUUCUGACUCAUAUAGACCUUCCCGACUUUCCGACUUAUCUCUCUCGGCUUGUAUAGACUUAUCCCGACUUAUUACUCUCUCUAUGCAACCCUCGUUCUCCUUCCGUUGGUACCUCCGUUUAAAACUGGUCGACUUCUGUAUCUUGUUACUAAACCAGGCAUUCAUCUUGUUAUUUUGUAAAGGUUUCAGUUCAGAUUUGUUAUCAUAUCACACUCAUUCUUGUUUUGUUCGAUCAAUAUAACAUUUAUACCGGUCCAUUCAAUCAUAUAUGUUCCGAUCUAAAUACUGAUUGGGAGAAUUCCCACCAAUUUUUCUUAUUUGGUUAAAAUGUUUCUAAAACAUUGCAUCCAUGUGGAUGCAUUUUUUUCAGUGAGAUAUACAGUACUUAUUGUCAUAUUUUGUUUGCUUAUAGACAAUGCCGAGUUGGUAUAUUGACACCUCAUCUGAAG
rnacentral:lncRNA from 1 species